rnacentral:lncRNA from 1 species
CACUCCAGCUGAAAUCUUCCUCCAACUUGAAAAGUUUCCAUAAAGCUUAUCCAAAGAUACCUUCCAAUUUAUACAGUCAAAAUGCUGCUAACAAAGCUAACUAGAACCCACUCUUUUUUAUCUUCCCUUACAUCAUACAUUUUAAAGUGUUAUGUCUUCUAAAUUCUUCACUUCAAAGUACAAGUAUUUCGAAGAAAUGCACACAUUCUAUUUUUCAAUAUAUAAAUUCAUGGUAAUUUUUUGGUAAUAACUUUCCUAAGGCACACAUGGCAAAGUUUUCAACAAUUUCCUACAUAUAAGACAUUUAAUUUAUUCAUUCAAAAAACAUUUGUGCACACAUUAAUUAUAAGCACUAGGUAUAAUGCAGUCUUAUAGCUUGUUCCAACCACCUAUGUUCUAAAACUUCAGUUUCCUGCUGACAAGAAGAUAACUUCUAAAGACCUAAUCACCUCUAGCAUUAUGAAUUAACUUUUAUCAAAAGACUAGAUCUACCACAUCAAAAAUUUUUCUACUUCAAAUUUCCCAUGCUCUCUUAAUUAUAAACCUUUCAGCAGGUUAGUAUUUCUUUUGCAGUUAAUACUUCUAGUAUUAUAUAUAGAUACAUAUUUAGUAAAAUUUAUCAUUCAAAUUUGAUUACUUGACAAACCUAAAUGUAGUAUAUCUUCACUAAUUAUGAUGUGGGGGACCAGCUACAUCUUUAGAUCUAAGAAGAAUUAUUAGCUCCAUAAUCUUAAAUGACUUCUUAGUAUAAUCACAUUUCCACAAAAGCCUUACCUGUAUAACCCAUUAAAACUUAUAAAAUUUGCAUUGAUAUAUCUACUGCCAUUUUGCUAUUUCCAGUGGCAGAUGCAGGAGGCAAACUAAAUUUAAGAUUUAUUUUCAUUUAUUCAAUCAAAUGUCCAGGAUGUUUUAAGAACAUAAAGAUAAAUGUAAGAUAGCGCUUGCCCUACAGAGGUGUAGGUUAGAUAUAAGUAAGUACAAGAUAUCACAAUAAAGGUAUAGCCACAUGAAGUUAAGAAGGAGAAUUUACUUCCCUCUACUGGAUGAGGAUUUCUGUGAAGGGGACACAUUUGAGCAUAAUAUGUCAUCAAAUAUUAUGACGCCUUUUAAAAAGAAGUACACUGGGAGUUCCCUGGUGCAGCCACAAAAAAAAAAAAAAAAAAAAAAAGAUACUAUAACUAUGAAUAACAGCACAGAAAAGGCAAAUACCAAAUGCUAGGCAAUCAAAAUGAAAAAGAAAAAAAUGACCUCAAAAAAAGGAAAGGGUUUGCUGGUUGUUUCUAAGGGGUGGCAUCAUGUAUGUUUUUUCUUUUUCUUUCUUUCUUACUUUUUUCUUUUCUUUUUUUUUUUUUUUUUUUUUUUUUUGCUUUUUAGGGCCACACCCUCGGCAUAUGGAGGCUCCCAGGCUAGGGGUCUAAUCAAAGCUACAGCUGCUGGCCUACACCACAGCCACAGUUAACGCUAGAUCCAAGCUGCAUCUGCAACCCACACCUCAGCUCACGGCAACACCAGAUCCUCAAGCCACUGAGUGAGGCCAGGGAUUGAAUCUACAACCUAAUGGUUCCUAGUCAGAUUCGUUUCCACUGC